rnacentral:rRNA from 1 species
AUUGAUUGGCGGUCACGUCGAGCUUCCAUAGCGUAGUAGUAAGACCCUCGUUACUGGUAAUCGUCGCGGCCACGCCGUUAAACCCCAACUUCUGAAUGUUGACCUCGGAUCAGGUAGGAAUACCCGCUGAACUUAA